UUUCUAUCUGCUUCAUUUUUUUUUAAAAAAAAUAAACUUGGCUGAAAAUGUGAAGUAAGUAAGUUUCAAACUUCGGAUAUCUAACAACAACCAUCAAAUUCUUUACCACUUAUAUCGGACAGCCAAUACGUAUCACGUUAUUUUUUAAACAUGUAUAAUAGAUUAAGCCCUCAACCCUUUUUUAUCAACAGCCUAAAUACUACACUUGUCCAAAAUAUUCGAUAUUUCAUACUCGAUUUUAAACGGGUAGUAUAGAGUAAUCACUAUCCAAACCCGCUCAGAUAAACCCGAUGCAUAUAUUAUUAACUUAAGUAUCUAGAUUCGAACCUGAUCCAAAAUUAAAUGGAUAGAACAUAUGUUUUUCUAUUUAUCUUUUUAGGCUAUGUUUGGUUGGGGGGUUAAGGGUGGAAUAAAGAGUUUAUUCCACCCAUAUCUCCCAAACACAAAAAAAAGUUUGGUGGGAACAGUAAUUCCACCUUAACAGGCUAUUCUAGAAUAGCCAUUAGAAUAACCCGUUAAGGUGGGAACUAGUGUUCCUACCCCAAGGUGGAACAAACUGGGAUAACCCAGCAUGUUCCACUCGUGAAGAGAGAGAGAGAGAGAGAGAGAAAGAGAGAGAAUUUUUAAUUUGUUUUAAAAUUUAAAUUUAAUGAGUUAAAAAAUUAAAAUUUAUAAUUUUUAAAAUUACAAAAGUAAAAAUUUAAACUUUAAAUUGUUUAAUUUUAAAAUUUAAAAUUUGAUAUUUUUAAUUUUUUAUAUUUGGAAUUUGAUAUUUUGUAUUUUUAAAUUAAAAUUUCAUCUUAAAUUUUAAGUUUAAAAUUUAAAAUUUUAAUUUUUUAAAACUGUAUAUUUGAGAUUUUAAAAUUUUAAAAUUUAAAAGUUUAUAGUUUAAAUUCUAAAAUAUAAAUAUAAAAUAUAAAUACUCAAAUUCUAAUAUAAAGAAAUGAAUAAUAUCAUUAUUUUUUAUUUAUAACUACUCACUUUAAUUCUUAUUCCAUCUUACCUAACCAAACGUUUUCUUUUUUAUUCCCAGAAAUAACCCAAUUUUCAUUCAAAUGUAAAAUUGAUCUAAUCUCUGUUUAUACCUCAAUUUAUAUUUAUUCCUGAAUCAAACGAUAUUUUAAGGUACAAAUAUAAUAUAUCAACUAUUCAGAUCCACCCAGUUUUACUAAAUACCAACUAAGUAUGCUAGCCA
rnacentral:lncRNA from 1 species